UUUGUUGGAAGUUAGUUACAACCACUUCUUAUUUAUUAUUUUUUUUAAUUAGUUGAGAGAUCAAGAAAGAUUCUUGAUUUCUUUAAGAAUCAAGAAAGAAAGAUCAAAAGGAUUCAUGAAUUGAUCCCUAUCCAGGCUUGAUUCAAGCCUAUUCAGGCUUUGAGUUUAAGUGAGUUAUAUCAAGAGGAGCCUAUCCAGAUUGGUCCUGUAGAUAUCCGUAGAGACAGGAUGUUUGUGCUACUGAUUCAGAGCC
rnacentral:lncRNA from 1 species